AAAAAAAAUCAUCUCCGAGUUUAUAAGUCUAAGUCGGUAAAAUACGAUAUGACUUAUAAACCGGUUGGGUUCAGCCCCCAGGGUUUGGACGGAAACGCCCAUGCCUCCCGAAAUUUGGAAAGGAGAUAACUGGUAGUUUUA
rnacentral:ncRNA from 2 species